GGUUGUGGCUCAGUGGUAGAGUGCUCAUCUAGCAUGUGUGAGGCCCUGGUUUGAUUCUCAGCACCA
rnacentral:tRNA from 1 species